rnacentral:rRNA from 1 species
AUGACCCUUCUGCUUGGACCUCCAUCUUCAGGAAAGAGCACAUUUAUGCGAGCACUUACUGGGAAGCUCGACAAAGCCCUCAAGGUGUCUGGCAGCAUCACUUACUGUGGCCAUACAUUUGAGGAGUUCUACCCUGAAAGGACCAGUGCGUAUGUUAGUCAGUACGAUCUCCACAACGCAGAGAUGACCGUAAGAGAGACACUGGAUUUCUCCAGGCGGUGCUUAGGCAUCGGUGCCAGAUAUGACAUGCUCGCUGAGCUCGCUGUCAGGGAGCGCGAAGCUGGCAUAAAGCCAGAUCCCGAGAUUGAUGCUUAUAUGAAAGCUACUGCGGUGCAAGGGCAGGAGAGUAAUAUUGUUACCGAUCUUACUCUCAAGGUUCUUGGGCUUGACAUUUGUGCCGAUAUGCCCAUUGGUGAUGAGAUGAUCAGAGGAGUUUCUGGCGGGCAGAGGAAGCGUGUAACAACUGGGGAGAUGCUAACAGGACCUGCAAGGGCUUUGUUCAUGGAUGAAAUUUCCACUGGUUUGGACAGCUCUAGCACAUUUCAGAUUGUGAAAUACAUAAGACAAUUGGUCCAUGUGAUGAAUGAGACCGUGAUGAUCUCCCUCCUACAACCACCGCCAGAGACCUACAACCUGUUUGAUGACAUUAUUUUGCUAUCAGAAGGAUACGUAGUGUACCAUGGGCCACGCGAAAACAUCUUGGAAUUCUUUGAAUCUGCUGGUUUUCGAUGCCCCGAAAGGAAAGGAGUUGCUGACUUUCUUCAAGAGGUCACUUCCAAGAAAGACCAGCAACAGUACUGGUACCUUGACCAGGAGCAGUAUCGUCACAUGUCUGUCCCAGAGUUUGCUGAACGUUUCAAGUCAUUCCAUGUAGGCCAGCAGAUGCUCAAGGAGCUGCAAAUUCCUUUCGACAAGUCCAAAACUCAUCCUGCUGCGUUGACCACCAAUAAGUAUGGGCAAUCCAGCUGGGAGUCAUUCAAGACAGUUUUGUCAAGAGAGAAGUUAUUGAUGAAGCGCAACUCCUUCAUCUACAUCUUCAAGGUUGCCCAGUUGGUCAUCCUUGGGCUUAUUGCCAUGACUGUGUUCCUCAGAACAAAGAUGCCAUAUGGGCAGUUUUCUGACAGCAGCAAAUUCUUUGGUGCUUUGACUUUCAGUUUAAUGACCGUCUUAUUCAAUGGGUUUGCUGAGCUACAAUUUACUAUUAAAAUGCUUCCUACGUUCUACAAACAGAGGGAUUUCUUGUUCUUUCCUCCGUGGACCAUUGGAGUGGUAAACAUCAUCACAAAAGUUCCUGUUUCGCUUGUGGAGUCCAUAGUAUGGGUCGUCCUCACGUACUAUGUAAUGGGCUUUGCACCUGCUGCAGGAAGGUUCUUUCGUAUGCUUUUAGCUUUUUUCGCUACUCACCAAAUGGCAAUGGGUCUGUUCCGAUUUCUUGGUGCUGUUUUGAAAUCAAUGGUUGUGGCCAACACCUUGGGGAUGUUUGUGAUCCUUCUUAUUUUCAUAUUUGGAGGAUUUGUCAUACCUAGAGGUGACAUCCGACCAUGGUGGAUUUGGGCUUACUGGGCAUCUCCUAUGAUGUACAGCCAGAAUGCAAUAUCCGUCAAUGAAUUCCUUUCAAGUAGGUGGGCCAACCCAAACAAUGAUACAUCUAUCGAUGCACAAACAGUAGGCGAGGCUAUUCUUAAAGCCAAAGGCUAUUUUACUAGAGAUUCGGGAUUUUGGGUUUCCAUUGGAGCCAUUGUAGGAUUCACUAUUUUAUUCAACAUACUGUACCUUCUGGCACUUACGUACUUGAGCUUUGGCAGCAGCUCAAACACAGUUUCAGAUGAGGAGAAUGAGAAUGAGACAAACACUUCAAUACUUAUAGAUGAAGCCACAAAUAGGCCAACUCGGUCACAAAUCACCUUGCCUUUCCAGCCUCUUUCACUUUCUUUCAACCAUGUAAACUACUACGUGGACAUGCCUGCAGAAAUGAGAGAGCAAGGAUUCACAGAAAGUCGUCUCCAGUUGCUCUCUGAUAUCAGUGGUGCUUUUAGGCCUGGUGUUCUAACAGCAUUAGUUGGUGUGAGUGGAGCUGGGAAAACCACUCUAAUGGAUGUCCUGGCAGGAAGGAAAACUAGUGGAUCUAUUGAAGGAAGUAUCACCCUCUCUGGUUACCCUAAAAGACAAGAAACUUUUGCCCGCGUGAGUGGCUAUUGUGAACAAACUGAUAUCCAUUCACCAAAUGUUACUGUGUAUGAAUCCAUUCUGUACUCUGCCUGGCUGCGUCUUUCCUCAGAUGUCGACGAAAAUACGAGAAAGAUGUUUGUGGAGGAAGUCAUGACUCUUGUGGAGCUUGAUGUGUUGCGUAAUGCUAUGGUUGGUCUCCCUGGAGUGGACGGGUUAUCGACUGAACAAAGAAAGAGACUGACAAUUGCCGUGGAGCUGGUAGCAAAUCCUUCAAUCAUAUUCAUGGAUGAGCCAACUUCUGGUCUUGAUGCUAGAGCCGCGGCAAUUGUAAUGCGGGCGGUGAGAAAUACAGUGAACACUGGGCGAACUGUGGUUUGCACUAUCCAUCAACCCAGCAUCGAUAUAUUCGAGUCUUUUGAUGAGCUUCUGCUUAUGAAAAGAGGAGGACGAGUUAUUUAUGCUGGUGAACUUGGUCAGCACUCUCACAAAUUAGUUGAAUAUUUUGAGGCAAUUCCAGGUGUUGAAAAGAUCACAGAAGGAUAUAAUCCUGCAACAUGGAUGCUGGAAGUUAGCUCCCCUUUAGCUGAGGCUCGCCUGAACGUAAAUUUUGCUGAAAUUUAUGCUAAUUCUGAUCUUUAUAGGAAAAACCAAGAACUUAUAAAGGAAUUAAGCGUUCCCCCACCUGGCUAUGAAGAUCUCUCAUUUCCUACGAAGUAUUCUCAGAAUUUCUACAAUCAAUGUGUUGCAAACUUCUGGAAGCAAUACAGAUCUUACUGGAAGAAUCCACCCCACAACGCCAUGCGCUUUCUUAUGACGAUGAUCUAUGGCCUUGUAUUUGGCACAGUGUUUUGGCAGAAGGGGACAAAAAUAGACUCACCACAAGAUUUGUCCAAUCUACUUGGAGCCACUUAUGCUGCUGUCUUCUUCCUUGGGUCUGCCAACUGCAUCACAGUUCAGCCUGUUGUGUCAAUCGAGCGAACUGUUUUCUACCGUGAAAAGGCGGCAGGGAUGUACUCUCCAUUAUCCUAUGCAUUAGCUCAGACAUGCGUGGAGAUGAUCUACAACAUCGUGCAGGGGAUUCAGUACACAGUCACCAUCUAUGUGAUGAUUGGAUAUGAGUGGAAAGUUGCAAAGUUCUUCUAUUUCCUUUUCUUUAUAAUUUCAUGCUUCAACUACUUCACAUUGUUUGGCAUGAUGCUGGUGGCGUUGACCUCAUCUUCCAUGCUCGCAAACAUACCCAUAGCCUUUAUACUCCCUCUUUGGAACCUUUUUGCUGGGUUCCUCGUUGCGAGACCGUUAUUACCAAUUUGGUGGAGGUGGUACUACUGGGCGAACCCUGUGUCUUGGACCAUCUAUGGCGUCAUCGGGUCGCAGUUUGGCGAUAACACCAGUCGUCUGUCGGUCCCCGGCGGGAGCCCCACGGUGGUGAAGCAAUUCUUGGAGGACAAUAUGGGCAUCAAGCACGAUUUCCUUGGGUAUGUCGUGCUCGCGCAUUUUGCGUAUGUCAUCGGCUUCUUCUUGAUGUUCGGCUACUCCAUCAAGGUGUUGAACUUCCAGAAACGUUAG